GGCCAGAAUUCAAAUGCAUCUUACAACUUUCAAAGGGAUUAUCCUUUUUUCUACACCCACUUAAAUCAUCUUGUUCAAUUCAUAAGGACGCUAAAAGGUGCAUUACAAAAAAGGCAUAAGCACAAUAGGCCUUUAAAACACAUGACUGUCAUCAAGCGAGGACAGAAUGCUCAGGGCGCACCUCUCAAAUUCUGAAACUACGUCCAUAAAUUUGCUUAAAACAACUUGGUAACAACGAAAAGAAUCCCAAAAAAAAGUGAUUCAAAGUAAAAUGCAAACAAAGUGCAAGCUUGGUUAUUAUACACAUCAAUUAUAUUCAAAAGCAACUCAAAUCUCCCUAAUCAACUAGACAGAAUAGAACUCCACGACCCAAACUGUGGGGAGCAUUUUCAACAAGCCAACAUCAACAACAACUCAGCCUUAAUCCCAGACAUGGUAAAAAAAAAUAAAAA
rnacentral:misc_RNA from 1 species